GUCCGUUACGUUGGUGACGUCACCACGAGCGCGAGAAGUCGAAGGUAGGAGCAGAAAGCGGUGUUAGUGUUAGUUCUGGCCCGUUUGGACCCAAACUAAAGUGUAUCAGUAUGAAGCAGGCGGUGACGGCGCACUGAUUCACUCUCGGAGCUCGGUUCACUAAUGACCGAAUCACCGAGGAACCGACCAAAGAUAACUCACACCCGCACGGAGAAGAAGAACAAGAGGAGGAGAAGAUGAGCUGGAGUAGGGCAAAGAGAACUGCAUUCAGAUCAAAAGGAUACAAGAGGUGGCCGAGUUGUUUGAGGAUCUAAAGAAUUGAGUGUCACAAUUCAACAUGCACAUCAGCGAAACUUUUCCCUCUGACUACACCAGCACGCACGCACAGAAAUUCAUAGUGCAGGUGGCGAUUGCAGGCACAUUUUAUCCGAACUGCUUCCUCCAGGGAACUCUAUGGAAACGACCCCAGGACCACCAUAGUGGUGUGUAAUCUCCCUCCAUUUGCAUUCCUCUACUAUAAACAGCUCCAGUCUCUCUUCAGACACUGUGGUUAAAUCAAAUCCAUCUCCUUUGACAGCUCCAGGGCCUAUGUAGAGUUCUACCGCUCGUCAAUGAGAGGUUCUGGCGUUCUCCCAGAGGUCUCUCUGUCUCUCCUCCUCACGCAGCAGAGACUUCCUCUCCAUCUCAACGUUUAACCCGCUGGAGAGGUGGAGACUUGGGCAGGGGGGUAGUGUAUCUCACACCUCAGAUAUACACGGGUGAAUGUGGAUUUUCAGAAUCGGUCAGUGAGCCCUGUCGGGGUUCUGAGCAGCUCCAUUGAGUUGGAGAAUCUUCCGUCUAACCCUGUCUUUAUCGUCAAUAUCACCGAGGUGUCUGUUCCGCCUCUUUCACUUUCAGUGCACAAAUAAAAAAGAAGCAGUGGCUCCUGUGUGUGUGUGUGUGUGUGUGUGUGUGUGUGUGUGUGUGUGUGUGUGUGUGUGUGUGUGCACUAACAGGAGGUCCAGGUGCAGCCUUUGGAUAUUGAUGAAGAUUUACUGCCCCUGCAAGACCUUCCUCAACUGCGUAGUCUGGAGCAAAGGAUGCAACAGAGCCCAGAUUACAAGCAAAAUCUGGUAAACUGGUUGGCGCUUAUUGACGGGGUGUAUGUGCGUGACUGCACCUGGUGCAUAUUGAAGAGGGUGAUUGCUAACUCCCUGGCAAAGAAUCUCAAUUGGAGGGGAGUCGAUGGAAAGACUUCACUGUCCGCUCUCCAACUCGGAGAGGUCGUGAUUGCUGCAGUUCAUAGAAACCUCCUCACGGCUAAAGCUGCAGAGAUGGAGGUCGAGGGGUCCAUGAAGAGGCGGCUCCAGCUGGCAUCAGAUCGAGAGUGUGGGCGCAAGAGCAGACUUUUGAUAAAGGAGGGUAUUUACAGUGUUUUAACUGCUGUGUUUUUGCGCUAUUAUUAAUUUGUUAAAAUGUUCAUAUUAUAGUCUAUUUUUAAUUGUUUAUAAAAGUCCUUGCUGUUUUUAAGUGGCUGAAUUAGUGUGUGCGCGCGCAUGUGUGUGCGCGCAUGUGUGUGCGCGCAUGUGUGUGUGCGCAUGUGUGUGUGUGUUGGUAGCUGGUUGGGUAUAUAGUUCUGGUCGGAAGUUGACAUACCCCUUGCAGGAGAAAGAGACCCUGUGUAAUCUGUUUAAACGACUUUUACGCAUGUUUUGCAGAGAGAUCAUUUUCACCUUGCUGUUUGGGUCUCUGUCCCACACUGUUACAGUGCAGUAUUGAGAGCGCGAGGGAGAUCGAUUUUCUAUCAGAAACAGUAACUAUAUAAAAUGGACGUCAACACGCACCACUCUGUGAGGUCACUUCUCGCUCUCAACAGAGUAGUUGUGAUUGUUUAGUGUUUACGACAGGGCCAAAACAUUCAAGGCCAUGGUGUAUUUUGACUGUUCCUGUAGCAUAAUCUCACCAAACUGUGUGUACACGAGUCCACAGACACUGAGUCUAUUCACAGUUCCAUGCUGUGUAGAUGUUCUGCUCAUCCUCACUGUACCGUAAAGGUCAGAACCUCACAUCUGUAACCUUGUAGCUUUCCUUAAUCAACACGACUGCGACCAAGCUUGUGUAUCACUACUAUUUUUAGAUCUCCGCCUCUCAAAAGUAUUGGCGCCCUGCGCGGCCGCCUCUCAAAUCUUUUGGCGCCCUACGCGGCCAGCUCUCAAAUCUGUUGGCGCCCUAUGCGUCCGGCUGUCAAAUCUAUCGGCGCCCUAUGCGUCCGGCUGUCAAAUCUAUCGGCGCCCUAUGCGUCCGGCUGUCAAAUCUAUCGGCGCCCUAUGCGUCCAGCUCUCAAAACUAUUGGCGCCCUUCACGGGCAGUUCUCAAAAGUAUUGGCACCCGAUCUGAAUUUUGCCACGGCAAGCACCACUCACAUUUUCUUCAGGAAAUGUACCUUAAAAUAAUAAAAAGUCUCUCACUAGGCUGUGUGUCGAGAUAAACGUGAAAACAUCUUGAGCUUGUGUUCACCACAGACCUUAUUUCCGGCAUUUAACCCAAAACCCCAUUGACGGAAGUGCUAAUACGCUGACUCGUUUCUGGGUUUCACGACUCAUUCCUGCAGCACUCUGUAAGACGGGCUGUUGUUAUCAAACCAUCGAAGUAAGAUAAGCGGCUUUGGUAAUGAUUCUUUAAAUGAACCGAUUCAGAAUCCUCUUCUUGAAUCGUUUGAGUCGUUCUCACUCGGUCAGGGUUGCACGUGUGGGUUGCUUUUCCUGCACGUGUUCACAGACCGUAAAUCCCGACCCCAUGGUAGACACUCGACAGAAAUUUCAUACUAAAGUAAGUAUUUUAUAUUUUCUGGGUCUAAACAGAGCAGAAGUAUUGCUAACGUGUUGUACAGAUUCUAUUGGACUGGUGAACUGUGUGGAUUUGUAUAUUUAACCCAGUUUAAUAUGGCCUGCUUUGUUCAGUCAGAGACAAGUAAAUCUGUUCUAAUGUUCAUUUAUUUUCCAUAGAUAAAACACAUGUUUGUUUACACAUGAAUACGUACUUUAUGCUUUCAGAAUGGUGGAGAUUUGGCCCUUAACUAUGGUUAAGUGGGGGGUACUAUAAAAUGCACAGUUCUGAGACACUAUAUACCUAUACUGUGAAAUCAGUACAUGUGUGUUUAGAAUGAUUAUAGCUUUUGGGGAAAAAACUAUUCUUGAAUCUAUUAGUCCUUGUUCUGAUGCACCUGUAACGUCUCCCUGAGGGCAACAGAUCAGAGCCAGGGUGAGAGCUGUCCUCAAUGAUGGUUUUUCCUCUGCUGAGGCAACGGGGGGUGUAAAUAUCCAUCAGGGAGGUGUUGUGGAUAAAAAAUGUCAUAAAAUAAACAUAAGGGAGACCUAGCAUCCAGCAAAGGGGAGAAGAAGAAAAGAUGGGCACCUAGACACAUAGAAGCGGGAUUAGGCGGACAUUGACAAAUUGGAAUUACACUUUAAAGAUCUUUAAGAGCAGUAGUAGUCAAAAAAGUCAAAAAGAGGUAUACGAGCUGAGCUGAGGAGUGCUAAUACACACACACACACGCUCGUACAGUCAAGGGCGGGCAAGUAGACACAACAUACACACACACUCUCUCGCUCUCAUACACACACAUGAAUAACUUUAAUAAUCUUAUUGUAAUAGAGAAACUCUAUAAAAAAACAGAAUAGUAGGAUAUGCAGGACAGUAUGGAGGAUAUGCAGGAGCUUAAGCUCAUCACUUCUGAGAAUUCUCAUCGGUGUGGAUCUCGUGUGGUGGAACGGAACAAUAAAGCUGGACCCUUGCUUCUUCUCACUCACGGCUGGUGUAUUUUUUUUCUAUCUCCAACUGGGCUCAGAGGUAGAUGUGAGUGUUGGCUUCUAUGUUGAAUUUUAAGUGUUUUUGGGUAAUAGGCUAAAUUUGAGCCAACAGAGGGGAGAGGUAAUAAAUAAACUUGUAAAUGUGAUUACUUGAUGACCGUAGACAGAACUCUAUACAUGUGAAAUGUUUUGUUGAAGUUCAGAUGAAUCUCUGAUGUACAGAAUCUUCAACAGAGUUCUGCAGAAAGAUUUUGAGUGCCUGUCAUUCACCAGAACAAAUUUGCAGUUGAACAGUCUGUCUAAAAGAAAAAAUCUAAACACACAAUAUAAAAUUCCUGCAGGGUGAAUAAAGCCUUUGUGUUGCUUUUAGCAAACAUGUCUAGUACUCUCGGUUCAAUGUACACAAUUUACCCCAUUUAAAUGCAUUUUGGAAAUUGUUCCACAUGGCCUUAAAGUGUGAAUAUUCACUGUAUGCCAAAUAAGUAAUCAAAGAAUGGAAUGGAUUUUUUCUUCUCUAAUGGACCAUUAAUCACAAUUAUAAAAGAUGAUGCAUCAGGUACAAAGUAUCAGGGUUUUUUCCCCCUCUUUUUCCCACAAUAGUUGCAUGAUUUUUGCUACACCCUUUCCACCGUGUGUGUGUGUGUGUGUGUGUGUGUGUGUGUGUGUGUGUGUGUGUGCGCGCUACCAAUCACUUUGAGGUAAAAAUAUUUUAACGCAGCCACUUUCACCUUCCUACAACAAUUGGUGACUGGGGAUCUCUGUAAUGUAACCGUUUCUGUAAUUAUCCUUACUUGCCUUUGUGCUUCUGUGUCUUCUGUUGGUGCUUUAUUCUGCUUUUUAGGGCCCGAGCACCGCUGCUGCAAAGCCCUAUUGGAUCUGCUGUUUAUUAUUGGGGCAGAGCACCGAAGGUGCAGCGCUUCCGGUGACCACCGGAGGGCGCAUGCACCGGAGGUGCAGGGCCCUAUUGAUUUUCUGGUGUUUAUUUCAUGCAUUCUUGUCGUUUUUAAGGGCCUAAACAUGGCUGAAAACUCACAAAACUCGGUAGACGCGCCAGCACCAGUGAAAAUGUAACUUACAUUGGGCAUGGUCGAGGAGCUCCUUAGCACCCCUUAGCACCCCUGAAUGCAGACAAAGUUAGAUUCAGCUUCGGACACAAGUUCCAGGUACUGAUCGAGAAGGAGUGGAUCAGCUUCGGACACAAGCUGACCUCGCGUGUCGGCCUUGGAGAUGAGAAUCACGCCAACUCGGAACGAUCCCCUCUCUUUGUGCAGUUCAUUGACUGUGUGUGGCAGAUGAUGAGACAGGUCAGCUACUGAUGCUUUACACCACAACACUGUUGAAUUCUCCAAUCUGAUUGGUCAGAAGGCGUUGGAGACAUUUCUGUAACAGCAAGAUUCUGAUUCCAGCUGCAAGGGAAAUUACAGCUUUAUAGUGAUGUUCUCGUUCCUAUAGUAACAGCUCAUUCACAGGGUCUAGUAUGGCGUACGCAAUACAUAUUCUAAGCUUAAUCGUAAACAUAUUAUAAACAUGUCACUUAAAGAAAAAGACGUAUGAUCAUUGUGAUCUAGUUAAGAUUUAUAAGUUAUCUAUUUAUGGAAGUUUUAUGGAAGUAGUCUCCAGUGUCACGGCAGAGAGGACACUGCACUUUCCAGUUUCUCAGUAACAUUGCAAGUCUUAUUAAUUUCAAGAGUUAGGGGGAAAAAAGAGAGGCUUGUGAGGGAACUAUUGUUUUAUUUUAAUGUUAUAAAGUAAGAGAUCAUAAUGAGAACUAACUCUCUUUUCCAGGACAUUCCAAAUUGUUCUUUGGCUAUGCCCCAUGUUUGUGCAAUGGUUCAGACCGGUUUUUCCUCUUUUCGCAGCUUCAAAAUGGCUUGCUUUUCUCCCAUAGACAGCUCUCUGGUCUUAUUGUCGGUUUAUUCUUUUUAACAACAAAUGCUGUCUCCACAGGUGAAACCCAGGGCUCAAACCAAGAGAAGACAUUCAGAGCUAUUCAUUGUUUAAAGUCCAUUUAACGAGUUUCCUUCUGCUUCUGAGUUCAAAGAGCUUUUUCUCAUCCCCAUCCUGGAUCGCCCCUACAGCUGCCUGUUUGGUACAUUCCUCUACAGCAGUGAGCAGGAGAGAAUGGAAAAGGAAGUACAGGGUAAAACGGUCACUGUGGUCCUACGUUAACAGUCAGCCGGAGGACUUCACUAACCCGUUCUAUGUGGACUGUAAAAACCAGGUGCUGUAUCCACUGGCCAGUCUCACACAUCUGGAGCUCUGGGUGGGUUAUUAUGUGCGCUGGAACCCACGCAUGAGACCACAGGUGCUUAUACUGCAAACCACACUCUAUGAAAUUAUGGGGAAAUGCUCAAAAAUAGUGUUUCCAAUAUAUACCAAAAUACCUAGUUACUUGUAUAACUGAACAGUGUCACUUCAAACACAUGAUGAAUGUCACUUUUUAUUACUAGGUGUUUCUGGGUUUUAACACCAAGUUUGCUUUAAAAAAACAAAACCAUUUCUAUCAGCGCAAAGCUAAAAAAACACAAAAGCUGGAGUAAUGGGUCGGUAAGCAUAAAAAGUGCCGUACACAGUGGAACUGGACACACGAGGAUCUCUGACACUGUUGACUCUUCAGUGGUUCCAUUUUCAGUUCUAGUUUGUAGGUACAGGUUUCAGUCUUCAACAACAUUGUAGUUUUCUUUUUAAAAUGCACUCCUUGGUUGUGCUCACUGCAUUACAAACUCAAGUCCAACAUUGAGAUUUUUUUUAAAAAAUGUGUUGAAAUGGAGUUUUCUUGUGAUGCCUCUAUAUUCCUGUAUAUUUCAUGAUUGGCUGGUUAGAAAACUACAUGAACGUACAGGUGUUCCUAAUAAAGUGGACGGUGAGUGAACAUGACGUGGCUGAAACGAUUUCCAAAACACUUCAGGAGCAGCUAGCGAUAAAGAUUAAGAUGCCGCUCCAUCAGAAUCUGAGAGUGUUAUUGUUUUUGCGUGAAGAACGUGGAGGAGCUCCAGAGAGAGGCCACGUCAUCCUGCUCCAUCUCCUCAUCCUCAGAGCAUACUUCACAUAGUGGUUUGGCAUGCUGUGCAUCCUGAGAUGCUUUUCUGCUCACCAUGUAUGUAAAGAGAGGUUAUUUGAUGUUACCAUGGCCGUCCUAUUAACUUGACCCAGUCUGGCCAUUCUCCUUUCGCCAACAACGUGUUUCCACCCCGAGAACUGCCACUUACCGGAUGUUUUUCACACAAGUGUGUGUGUGUGUGUGUGUGUGUGGAAAUCCUAGGAGAGCCGCAGUUUCUGGAAUACUCAAACCAGACCAUUUAGAAUCUACAACCAUGCCGCGGAUAAAAUCACUGGAUUACAUUCUGGUGUUUGAUGUGAAUAUUGACUGAAGCUCUUCAUCUGAUCCUGCUUGAUGUUGUACAUUGUGGUGUUGCCAUAUGAUUGGCUGAUUGGAUAAUUGUAUGAAUGAGCACAUGUACAAGUGGUCAGUGAGCACAUCUAUCUACCAUAGAGGUAUUUUGGGGCAAUACUUGACAAUGUACCUGAUUUUGUUAGAUUUGUGGCCAAGUUGAAGAAGCUUUUGACAUCCCAAUGGAAAAUAAUAAAUAAAACAAUCCAGGACAAAUUCA